AAUAGAUCUAAGCGUUUAGGUAC
rnacentral:siRNA from 1 species